rnacentral:lncRNA from 11 species
CUGGUGGGGUGUGGCUGUGUGUGUGUAUUAGCUUCUGCUCCUUCUUUUGGUUUCGUUUUGCUUUUUGGAUCUCUCCCUUGGAAGAAGAGGCUGAAGAAGCCAUGCUCUUUGUAUUUUACAAUGCUUUUUGCAUCUUGAAAUGCUUACAAGGACUAUUCACUUCCAGCUCUUCAUGACCUCAUGGACCAGCCCACGCCAGAGCUCCCUGUCAGCCGUCACCACUCCCAGCUCCUUCAAGUUCAAGCCAGUCACUUCAAGGGUAC